UUCAAACGAAUAAGGGCUUAUGGUGGAUACCUAGGCACCCAGAGACGAGGAAGGGCGUAGCAAGCGACGAAAUGCUUCGGGGAGCUGAAAAUA
rnacentral:rRNA from 1 species